rnacentral:tRNA from 1 species
CGGGAUAUAGCUCAGUUUGGUCAGAGUGCUCGGUUUGGGGCCGAGAUGCCGUAGGUUCGAAUCCUACUAUCCCGAC